AAAAACACCUUCAUUCCGUUCUCAGUUUCUCUGUUUGUGUGGCUGAAAUUUUUCUGUUUUCCCCUGUUUUAAAAAAAGGGAUACGGUUUAGACAGACUUAAAGGAUUCUGAAAGCCAAAAGAGUUCAUCUGUCUAAACAUUAUUUGUGUUCCAUCAUAAGACCAUAAGACACAGACAUGGGGAAAGGUGCGAGUGACGACUGGGAUGAGAAGCCCCACAAUGUGCAGCAGACACAGCCACAGAAGCAUGAAGAUACCAAGCCUAAGAAACAGGAGGAGAAGGAGAAGGACAAAAAGAAAGGUUGUCCAAAAUGCUGCUUGAAGGUCAGGGACUGCAUGAUGAGCCCGGAGUGCGGCAGGGCGCUUCAGAUCUCCAGUGUUGUGGCCUGGUGUGGAAUGUGCCUCAACAUGUGGACAUAACUGAACAGUGGACUUCCUUGUUUCCUGAGCAACAAACUGAGCUGCCGUCAGACGCACCGUCAAGUCAUCCUUUAUUCUCCUGGUCUAUAACGAAAAAACACUUAGCUUUAAAGUUUCUCAUCGCCUAUUUAUUACUUUUCUAUUACUGUUGUAUUUUUAGAAGGAUGGAAAACAAACCUGUUUCUGAUAAGAUAUGUCUAAAUAUCAUCUAGAACAUUAUGAAGGAAGUGUUAAGUAUUAAUGCUGCUGGAUGGUUGAUUAUUUUAAUUUGAAGCCUUAUUUGUUGUAUGUAAAAGUAUUCAGUAAUUUGCACAUUUCCUAAUAAAUGUUCCUUUUAUAGUUUUAUCUGGUGUUUUCAAUUAAGUAAUUAAAUCUAAUUAUUGUGUAUUGAAAAAGGAACUAUGCAUAAAAAAAAGAAAAGUGUUGUUUUUACUGAUCAAGAAGACUGAGUAAUGCUUUACAUUCCUUAUUUCUUUACCUUUUUGACAUUCUUGACUUAUUUUUCUAUGAAAUUUUGAACUUUUAAACUGAGUUUAAGUAGGCGCAAAAAACGAGUAAAAAUGUUCCAUUUUGUCUAAACAGAGUAUAAAAUGUGUAGUGAGGAAUUUUACAGCCUUAAAACAUCUAUAAUAAUUGUAAUAAAGUUAAGUUGACUACUUUAUGGAUUUCACCUUUCGCGGGUUGUUUGUUGUACGCGCCUGUUGUGAUAAAUGACGGAACAACAAACUUGAAAAAUAAAGAAAAAGGAAGAAAAAAUA